rnacentral:tRNA from 2 species
GCCGGAAUAGCUCAGUUGGUAGAGCARAGGACUGAAAAUC